rnacentral:rRNA from 1 species
GAUGAACGCUGGCGGCGUGCCUAAUACAUGCAAGUCGAGCGAACGGACGAGAAGCUUGCUUCUCUGAUGUUAGCGGCGGACGGGUGAGUAACACGUGGAUAACCUACCUAUAAGUCUGGGAUAACUUCGGGAAACCGGAGCUUACACCGGAUAAUAUUUUGAACCGCAUUGUUCAAAAGUGAAAGACGGUCUUGCUGUCACUUCUAGAUGCAUCUGCGCUGCAUUAGCUAGUUGGUAAGGUAACGGCUUACCAAGGCUACGAGGCAUAGCCGACCUGAGAGGGUGAUCGGCCACACGGGAACGUGGACAGGGUCCUUGCUCCUGCGAGAGGCAGCAGUAGGGAAUCGGCCGCAGUGGUCGAAAGCCUUACGGAGCAACGCGGCGUGAGUGAUGAAGGUCUUCGGUUCGUAAAACCCUGUUAUUGGUGAAGAACAUAUGUGGAAGUAACUGUACACAUCUUGACGGUACCUAAUCAGAAAGCCACGGCUAACUACGUG